rnacentral:rRNA from 1 species
GGUUAAGCGACUAAGCGUACACGGUGGAUGCCCUGGCAGUCAGAGGCGAUGAAGGACGUGCUAAUCUGCGAUAAGCGUCGGUGAGGUGAUAUGAACCGUUAUAACCGGCGAUUUCCGAAUGGGGAAACCCAGUGUGAUUCGUCACACUAUCAUUAACUGAAUCCAUAGGUUAAUGAGGCGAACCGGGGGAACUGAAACAUCUAAGUACCCCGAGGAAAAGAAAUCAACCGAGAUUCCCCCAGUAGCGGCGAGCGAACGGGGAGCAGCCCAGAGCCUGAAUCAGUGUGUGUGUUAGUGGAAGCGUCUGGAAAGGCGCGCGAUACAGGGUGACAGCCCCGUACACAAAAAUGCACAUACUGUGAGCUCGAUGAGUAGGGCGGGACACGUGGUAUCCUGUCUGAAUAUGGGGGGACCAUCCUCCAAGGCUAAAUACUCCUGACUGACCGAUAGUGAACCAGUACCGUGAGGGAAAGGCGAAAAGAACCCCGGCGAGGGGAGUGAAAAAGAACCUGAAACCGUGUACGUACAAGCAGUGGGAGCACAGAGCAAUCUGUGUGACUGCGUACCUUUUGUAUAAUGGGUCAGCGACUUAUAUUCUGUAGCAAGGUUAACCGAAUAGGGGAGCCGAAGGGAAACCGAGUCUUAACUGGGCGUUAAGUUGCAGGGUAUAGACCCGAAACCCGGUGAUCUAGCCAUGGGCAGGUUGAAGGUUGGGUAACACUAACUGGAGGACCGAACCGACUAAUGUUGAAAAAUUAGCGGAUGACUUGUGGCUGGGGGUGAAAGGCCAAUCAAACCGGGAGAUAGCUGGUUCUCCCCGAAAGCUAUUUAGGUAGCGCCUCGUGAAUUCAUCUCCGGGGGUAGAGCACUGUUUCGGCAAGGGGGUCAUCCCGACUUACCAACCCGAUGCAAACUGCGAAUACCGGAGAAUGUUAUCACGGGAGACACACGGCGGGUGCUAACGUCCGUCGUGAAGAGGGAAACAACCCAGACCGCCAGCUAAGGUCCCAAAGUCAUGGUUAAGUGGGAAACGAUGUGGGAAGGCCCAGACAGCCAGGAUGUUGGCUUAGAAGCAGCCAUCAUUUAAAGAAAGCGUAAUAGCUCACUGGUCGAGUCGGCCUGCGCGGAAGAUGUAACGGGGCUAAACCAUG